rnacentral:rRNA from 1 species
CCUACGGGUGGCUGCAGUGGGGAAUUUUGGACAAUGGGGGCAACCCUGAUCCAGCCAUGCCGCGUGAGUGAAGAAGGCCUUCGGGUUGUAAAGCUCUUUCGGCCGGGAAGAAAUCGCUCAAGCUAAUACCUUGGGUGGAUGACGGUACCGGAAGAAGAAGCACCGGCUAACUACGUGCCAGCAGCCGCGGUAAUACGUAGGGUGAGUACGGUAAUCGGAGCUAGUGGGGGUGAAGCGUUAAGACGCAUGUGAAAGCCCCGGGCUUAACCUGGGAACUGCGUUUGUGACUGUGGUGCUCGAGUGCGGCAGAGGGGGGUGGAAUUCCACGCGUAGCAGUGAAAUGCGUAGAGAUGUGGAGGAACACCGAUGGCGAAGGCAGCCCCCUGGGUCGACACUGACGCUCAUGCACGAAAGCGUGGGGAGCAAACAGGAUUAGAUACCCUAGUAGUC